GUAUGGGGAUCUGCCCGAUAGAGGGGGAUAACUACUGGAAACGGUGGCUAAUACCGCAUAAUGUCUACGGACCAAAGCAGGGGCUCUUCGGACCUUGCACUAUCGGAUGAACCCAUAUGGGAUUAGCUAGUAGGUGGGGUAAAGGCUCACCUAGGCGACGAUCUCUAGCUGGUCUGAGAGGAUGAUCAGCCACACUGGGACUGAGACACAGCCCAG
rnacentral:rRNA from 1 species